AACGCUAGCUACAGGCUUAACACAUGCAAGUCGCGGGGCAGCAUUUCUUUAGCUUGCUAAAGGAGAUGGCGACCGGCGCACGGGUGAGUAACGCGUAUCCAACCUUCCCUUGUCCACGGGAUAGCCCGUCGAAAGGCGGAUUAAUACCGUAUGAGGUCACAUGCUGGCAUCAAAGUGUGACGAAAGGUUUUGCGGACAUGGAUGGGGAUGCGUCCGAUUAGCUAGUUGGCGGGGUAACGGCCCACCAAGGCAACGAUCAGUAGGGGUUCUGAGAGGAAGGUCCCCCACAUUGGAACUGAGACACGGUCCAAACUCCUACGGGAGGCAGCAGUGAGGAAUAUUGGUCAAUGGGCGGGAGCCUGAACCAGCCAAGUAGCGUGCAGGAUGACGGCCCUAUGGGUUGUAAACUGCUUUUAUAAGGGAAUAAAGUUAGUCUCGUGAGACUUUUUGCAUGUACCUUAUGAAUAAGGACCGGCUAAUUCCGUGCCAGCAGCCGCGGUAAUACGGAAGGUCCAGGCGUUAUCCGGAUUUAUUGGGUUUAAAGGGAGCGUAGGCCGCCCCUUAAGCGUGUUGUGAAAUGCCGCGGCUCAACCGUGGCACUGCAGCGCGAACUGGAGGCCUUGAGUACGCACAAAGUGGGCGGAAUUCGUGGUGUAGCGGUGAAAUGCUUAGAUAUCACGAAGAACUCCGAUUG
rnacentral:rRNA from 1 species